rnacentral:rRNA from 1 species
AGUGGAUGGGGAGCAACCUAGUUGUGCGUGUGUAAAGGUAGUGCCAAGAAAAGCGAUGAUCAUGUUGAAAAUCAAUUCCCGGUACCCGAAACCGACACAGGUGGGCAAGUAGAGAAUACUAAGGGGCGCGAGGUAACUCUCUCCAAGGAACUCGGCAAAAUGACCCCGUAACUUAGGGAGAAGGGGUGCCACCGAGAGGUGGUCGCAGUGAAGAGGCCCAGGCGACUGUUUAGCAAAAACAUAGGUCUCUGCAAACUCGAAAGAGGAGGUAUAGGGGCUGACGCCUGCCCAGUGCCGGAAGGUUAAAGAAGUUGGUCAGUCUUAGGAUGAAGCUAGCGACUGAAGCCCCGGUGAACGGCGGCCGUAACUAUAACGGUCCUAAGGUAGCGAAAUUCCUUGUCGGGUAAGUUCCGACCCGCACGAAAGGCGUAACGAUCUGGGCGCUGUCUCGGAGAGAGGCUCGGCGAAAUAGGAUUGUCUGUGAAGAUACGGACUACCUGCAUUUGGACAGAAAGACCCUAUGAAGCUUUACUAUAGCUUGGAAUUGUGUUCGGGCUUCCUGUGCGCAGGAUAGGUGGGAGGCGUAGAAGGUAUUCUUGUGGGGAUACUGGAGCCAACGGUGAGAUACCACUCUCAGGAGGCUAGAAUUCUAACUUAAUUAAGGACAGUUUCAGGUGGGUAGUUUGACUGGGGCGGUCGCCUCCAAAAAGGUAACGGAGGCGUACAAAGGUUCCCUCAGACUGGUUGGAAAUCAGUCGAAGAGUGCAAAGGCAGAAGGGAGCUUGACUGCGAGAAGUACAGUUCGAGCAGGGUGGAAACACGGUCUUAGUGAUCCGACGGUGCUGUGUGGAAGGGCCGUCGCUCAACGGGUAAAAGUUACUCUAGGAUAACAGGCUGAUCUCCCCCAAGAGUUCACAUCGACGGGGAGGUUUGGCACCUCGAUGUCGGCUCAUCGCAACCUGGGGCGGAAGUACGUCCCAAGGGUUGGGCGGUUCGCCCAUUAAAGCGGUACGUGAGCUGGGUUCAGAACGUCGUGAGACAGUUCGGUCCAUAUCCGAUGUAGGCGUGAGAAUAUUGAGAGGAGCCUUCCUUAGUACGAGAGGACCGGGAAGGACGCACCGCUGGUGUACCUGUUAUGAUGCCAAUUGUAAACGCAGGGUAGCCAAGUGCGGAGAGGAUAACCGCUGAAAGCAUCUAAGUGGGAAGCCCACCUCAAGAUGAGUAUUCUGGUGUAAGGUCACGGGAAGACGACCCGUAAAUAGGCACGAGGUGGAAGUGCAGAGAUGUAUGAAGCCGAAGUGUACUAAUAGACCGUCGGCUUGAC